rnacentral:rRNA from 1 species
GACGAACGCUGGCGGCGUGCUUAACACAUGCAAGUCGAACGGAAAGGCCCUGCUUUUGUGGGGUGCUCGAGUGGCGAACGGGUGAGUAACACGUGAGUAACCUGCCCUUGACUUUGGGAUAACUUCAGGAAACUGGGGCUAAUACCGGAUAGGAGCUCCUGCUGCAUGGUGGGGGUUGGAAAGUUUCGGCGGUUGGGGAGGGACUCGCGGCUUGUCCGCUGGUUGGUGGGGUAGGGGCUGACCAAGGCUUGGACGGGUAGCCGGCCUGGGGGGGGGACCGGGGGCGGUGGGAGGGGGGGACGGGCCGGACGGCUAGGGGGGGCAGCGGGGGGGAGGAGUGCACGAUGGGCGGAAGCCUGAUGCAGGAACGCCGCGGGCGGGAUGACGGCCUGCGGGUUGUAAACCGCUUUCGCCUGUGACGAAGCGUGAGUGACGGUAAUGGGUAAAGAAGCACCGGCUAACUACGUG